rnacentral:misc_RNA from 1 species
GCUUACUGCCACUCUUUCUCAGUUUCUAUCUUCUUUCCCUCUCGAUUUCUCUGCCUUCGCUGCCUCUGCCUCUGCCUCAAUUGAUUCUCCUCUCUUUGUUCUCUGGCGUCAAUUGAUCCUUCUCAAGCCCAUUAUGCUCUUUGUUCAAAUACCAAUACGAAGAACCUCAGGCCAUCAGCAAUCUCUCUCUCGUAUUCCAGGCUUCCAGUAGCAGUCCAGCUACCUCAGGCCCUCUCUCUCAAUUUUUGCGGCGGCCCAAGUGAAUUGGGAAGAGCAGCUGCGUCAACCAAGCUGCUCGGUCCAUCUCUCUGCUCUCAGCUCUUUCGGUACAAUGUCCACAAAGCUCCUCUCUCUCUCUCCCUCUGUGAUAGGGUUUUGAGAUGUGACAUCGAUUUCUAUCAGUUAUAUGAAUUGGUUACUGCCUUCUAAUCCCUUUUCGUUUUGUUGAGAUGGUAAUUGCUAAUGUGUUAUGGGGUUUCUCGUUAAUUGCUAUGGUGUUAAUUGUAAGCAUUAGUCCUGUUUUCAGAAUAAAAAUCGAUCUUCUUGUGGUCAUUUUUAAGUCGAUGAGACUGUGUUUGCAAAUUCUAGAAGAGGAAUUGUAAACAUGAGCUCUACAUUAACUAAUGAUAAGAAAAAUAGAAGGUGAUAUUUCCAUGCCGUUGCUUAGCUAUUAGAAAAUUGGUUGAUGCAACUUGCUUGUUAUGAACAUUUUAUAAAUUUCUGAAUCUUUGUGUGUUCAAUCAUUUUGAAGGGAUUAGACAAUGAAAAUUGACAUGCUUUGACUGUCUGCAUAUUAUGCAGUAUGAAUUAAAGUUUGGAUUUUACCUAUCAUGUAGAAGAAAAUAAGCAAAAAUGAAUAUGUGUUUUUUACAGGACUUAAAGACUAAAAGACAUGUUCAAACCAGAAGGAUCUAUGGACAGGAUUUAUCAGUAACACAUUUUUAUUCCUCUCAUCUUUGAAGUAUCAUCAGAAGAUCAGAAGUGUUCAUCUUACACUAGAAAUACUUCCAUUAGGGAGUAUAAUGGUUUCUUCCAUGAAUUCUGUUUUGUUGCCUUCGUCUGUCAUCCUUCAGUUGCCGUCCCGCCAGUCCUCACCUCGUCAUCAGUUACAACCUCAGUACAUUACCACUCGUAGUGUCAGUCAUCGUUUUCAUUUCAUAUCUUCUCUUUCUUGCUCAUUUCCAUCCAAUUCACAUUGUUGCUUACAUGCUGACCAGUCAUCAAUUGGUGCUAUGGUUCCUUCAGAUGAGGGACCAGUAUCUGUAAUAAACUUUGAAGAUUUUAUAGAAAAAGAUUGGUCAUUUCUUGAUUAUGACGAAUUAAAUCCCAAAGAAGAGCAUAAACAAAAGAUUGCCCAGAUAAUUACUGCAGGAAGGAUUGAAGAGACUUCAAGGGUUUUGGUUUCAAUUGGUUCGGAAGAAUUUGUAGAUCAGUUGGUUGAUACAUCACCCUGUAGUCUGUUGCUUGUUGUCCAUGAUUCACUUUUUAUAUUGGCAUGCAUCAAAGAAAAAUAUGACAAGGUUAAGUGUUGGCAAGGGGAGCUGAUACAUGUGCCAGAAAAGUGGGCUCCUAUGGAUGUUGUAUUUCUCUAUUUUCUGCCAGCUUUGCCCUUUAAACUUGACCAAGUUUUCAGAAUGCUUGCAAAAUGUUGCUCACAAGGUAAUUGAGAAAGCCACCGAUAUGCCCAUUCUUCUUUUAAAUUGAUACUAUUUGAUAUCUCUAAAAAUGCCUUAUCAGAACUUUAGAGCUUGAAAAAAGUGAAACCUCAAACCUUAGGAUAUAAAGCUUUGUUUAAACCAUUAAUAUUCCUAUAUUUUAGGGUGUAAAGUCACCUUCAUAAGAUUGAUGCUGAAGACAUGAUUAUAGUCAUUCAGUUGCUUUACUUUGAAAUCUUAAGUGACUUUUUUCUUUUUAUUUUGAAAAUCUUUUCUCAAUUAUGGUGAGGUUUUGUUGAAGCUUAUUUGGCAUGGAAUUGUUUGUUUGAGGUUUUUAUUUCUGCUUAUUAUUUGUAUAGGUGCAAGAGUAGUCAUUAGCCAUCCCCAAGGGAGAGAAGCAUUAGAGCAGCAAAGGAAACAACAUCAAGAUGUUAUAGUAUCUGAAUUGCCUGAUAAGAUGACCUUGCUGAAGGUUGCAUCUGAUAAUUCUUUCGAGAUGGCUGAAUUUGUGGACGAGUCAGGAUUAUAUCUUGCUGUUUUACAGUUUUCUGGGGCAAAAAAAUUAGUUUUUUUUUUAUUUAAAUUUUGUUGUGAUCUUAUAUUAAAUUGAAUAGAAUCGAAUUGAUCAAAAAUUUAAAUUCAUGAAACUGUGUAGCGUACAAAUUUUAGCAUUUAGCUUUUGUAUUGUUCAUAUUAUCUGGUUCUGGAAGAAUUCUCAUGGCAUGCAGUUGGUA